GCUGAGAUCCAUCGAAUGUCACAUUGUGACGUGCUUACACAAUGCCACCUAAUCUGAGUCCGGCGCCGCCGCCGCUGUCUCGCGCCGCCACCGCCUACCCCUCGUUCAAAAAAAAACUUGCGCUCCUCCGGCGCCGAUCUGCUCCAAGGUCGGGGAGGCCACCCCCAACCUCCCCGACCAAACCAAUGGCUUCCUCCAAGGAAGCCUACCGCGUCGAGCUCCGAGCCGCCGCCCGCCAGCUCGGUGAGCGCGGCCUCUACUCCGCCGCCAAAUGGGCGGCCGAGCUGCUCGUCGGCAUCGACCCCGACGCGACGCCGGCCCCGUCGUCGGCGAUGGACACCCCUUCCUCGUCGGGCUCCGGGGGGCACCUGCUGCACCUCCACCGCAGCGGCGGGUCCAGCUUCCGCCGCCGCCUCCGCCCGGGCGCGGCCGGGGAGGCCGGGACGCCGCUCGGCGGCGUCUCGUACGUCAGCACUCCCAUCCCCGACGACGACGACGCGUUCGAUGUCGGGGCUGAUAGGUACCUGCUCGCCAAGGCCUAAUUCGACUGCCGCGAGUACCGCCGCGCCGCGCACGUCCUGCGCGGCCAGACCGGCCGCAAGGCCGUGUUCCUUCGCUGCUAUGCCCUGUACACGGCUGGAGAGAAACGGAAAGAGGAAGAAACAGUCGAGCUUGAGGGAUCUUUGGGCAAAAGCAAUGCUGUUAAUCAGGAACUAGUUGCAUUGGAGAGAGAGCUCGCAACACAUCGGAGAACUGGUGCUAUUGAUUCAUUUUGUUUGUACUUGUAUGGCAUUGUUCUACGUGAUAAAGGCAGUGAAGCUCUAGCUAGAACAGUUCUGGUGGAAUCUGUCAACAGCUACCCGUGGAACUGGAGUGCUUGGUUAGAAUUACAAUCUCUCUGCACUAGCAGUGACAUUUUGAACAACUUAAAUCUCAAGAAUCACUGGAUGAAAGAUUUCUUCCUUGCUAGUGCACAUCUUGAACUAAAAAUGCAUGAAGAAGCUUUGAAAAGAUAUGAGCGCUUAAUGGGGGUCUUCCGUUGCAGUGACUACAUUCAGGCUCAAAUAGCUACUGUGCAGUAUAGUAUGAGAGAUCUGGAUGAAGCUGACAUGAUUUUUGAAGAACUCCUUAGGACUGAUCCUUUUCGUGUGGAUUCUAUGGACGUUUACUCAAAUUUAUUGUAUGCAAAAGAAAGCUCGACUGCUUUAAGUUUCCUUGCUCACAGAGUAUUUUUGACAGAUAAAUAUCGCCCAGAAUCAUGCUGCAUAAUUGCAAAUUACUACAGUUUGAAGGGGCAGCAUGAAAAUCAGUUUUGUACUUUCAAAGAGCACUGAAGCUUAAUCGAAAGUAUCUUUCAGCUUGGACCCUUAUGGGACAUGAGUUUGUUGAGCUAAAAAAUACACCUGCUGCGAUUGAUGCCUACAGGAGAGCUGUUGAUAUAAAUCCCAGAGAUUACCGUGCUUGGUAUGGUCUUGGUCAGAUCUAUGAGAUGAUGGGAAUGCCGUUUUAUGCAGUUUAUUACUUCCGUAAAUCGUCAUACCUACAACCUAAUGAUGCCCGGCUUUGGAAUGCUAUGGCUCAGUGCUAUGAAAGCGAUCAACUCCAGAUGAUUGAAGAAGCCAUCAAGUGCUAUGAGAGAUCUGCAAAUAAUAAUGACACUGAAGGAAUAGCACUUCAUCAGCUAGCAAAGUUACAUGGUAUGCUUGGACAAUCUGAGGAGGCAGCAUUUUACUACAAGAAGGAUUUAGAGAGAAUGGAAGUUGAGGAAAGGCAGGGCCAGAAUUUUGUUGAAGCUCUGCUUUUCCUUGCUAAGCACUGUAAGAGCAUAGGCAGGUUUGAGGAGGCAGAGCACUAUUGCACAAGGCUCUUGGAUUACACCGGUCCAGAAAGGGAGACUGCAAAAAGUAUUUUGCAAGGGCUAAAAAGAUCACAAUCGGUACUUCCGUUGAUGGAUAUCGACCAUUUUGCAAUGUAAAUUGGACUUGCAGAUAAGUUAUUUAGUUGAAGAACUAAGGUGUUAUAAGUGAGAUGUACAAGAGAAAACUACCCCUUGCAUAUUCUUUUCUCCAUUUUUUGCAUGCAUCGAGGAAAGCUACACAUUGGUUUCAAGAGAACUGCUAUAAUACAGAACAGUCAUGAACAAGGGGAUUGGUUAUCACUCACACCACACCAAGCAAGGAAAAGAAAUCUAUCAAGGCCACAGACUGGCCCUGUUCUUUCUCUAAUAAAAGUUGGAUAAACUUUUGGAUACUCGUGGCACACUUUUCAAGCUACUAAACGGUGUGUUUUGUACGAAAACUUUCUAUAUAAAAGUUGUUCUAAAAUAUCAGAUUAAUCCAUUUUUCAAGUUUGUAAUAAUUAAAACUUAAUUAAUCACGUGUUAUUACCAUCUUAUUUUGUGUGAAAUA